rnacentral:ncRNA from 1 species
AAAGUCUACCGUGGCGAUUUGUUCACCGGAUUGCGGGCCACGUUAAACAUUCCGCUAAAGAGGUCAGGGACGUGACCCA